UUUUGAAACUGGCGGCAGGCCUACCAUGCCAGUCGAGCGGAUGAGGGAGCUUGCUCCUGGAUUCAGCGGCGGACGGGUGAGUAUGCCUAUGAAUCUGCCUGGUAGUGGGGGAUAACGUCCGGAAACGGGCGCUAAUACCGCAUACGUCCUGAGGGAGAAAGUGGGGGAUCUUCGGACCUCACGCUAUCAGAUGAGCCUAGGUCGGAUUAGCUAGUUGGUGGGGUAAAGGCCUACCAAGGCGACGAUCCGUAACUGGUCUGAGAGGAUGAUCAGUCACACUGGAACUGAGACACAGUCCAGACUCCUACGGGAGGCAGCAGUGGGGAAUAUUGGACAAUGGGCGAAAGCCUGAUCCAGCCAUGCCGCGUGUGUGAAGAAGGACUUCGGAUUGUAAAGCACUUUAAGUUGGGAGGAAGGGCAGUAAGUUAAUACCUUGCUGUUUUGACGUUACAACACAAUAAGCACCGGCUAACUUCAUGCCAGCAGCCGCGGUAAUACAAAAG
rnacentral:rRNA from 1 species